rnacentral:lncRNA from 1 species
GUUGUUUAUUUAAAAAUGUAGUAAAUACGGCACAUAUGAAAUUAUUUGUAAAUGAAAUAUGUAUAGACUAUGAAUUUAAAGUUGGUAAAUCUGCUUGGAUAAAAAAAAUCGUCCCACGCACAUCUAAAACAAAUGAAAAUUGCUUCAUUGGUUGGAGCACUAAAUUAAUGAAAUGCAGAGUCACCAUGGGAAAAAAAAUCACAUUUACUUCACAUAGUCAUCUAAAAUUUGUUCAUAGGCACACAUUAAUCCUUUGUCAAAAGAUAUUCUUCAAAACAAGUAAAAAACAGCCAGUCUUCUUUAAUUAUAAGAGUACAGUUUCGGUAAAUGACAAUCUUCAGAUGUUCCUUUCUUCAAGAUACGAACAUAUUUCUACACAGUUAAUUUUGCUAAACAUCAGAGAAACAGAUAAAAAUAUCCUCCUGUUCUUGAACUUAAAUAUCACACACUUUUUCGGUGUGCACAUAUUUCAAGAAUUUAGCACUUCAAGUAAAGUCAUUUGGCUAACAACAUUCAGUGGUACGAUUAAUUCCAUAUCUGUAAAAGAAAAUAAAAGUUGUAAAUACACAAGAACCACUCGCGCUAUCAAAAUUACAGUAUGUGAUAACGUUAAUGUUUACAAAAUACCAGACGUUUUCGGAAAGUCAG